GUUCCUGUUGUUCUAUAACCGAUGACGCAUCGCCUCUUAUCCUCGACUCCCCACUACUCCUCCGCCGGGCCAUCCGCGUCCUCAUGGCCAUUCCUAUCCCCCGCCCAAUCUCUUCCCCUUCACGAUCCUUCUUCUCCCCCGCUCUACAAAUAUCUCUCUUCCAUGGUAUGAGCGGCUAUGCUUGAGCGAAGCGAUGAAGUAGCGAAGAUUGCGAGGUUUGGUUGGGGACAGAUGGGUGCUCCUUGUGCAGUGACCUUUCCCUCCCUCUCUCUGUACCAGAUUCAUUUCUCUGAUCUUCAAGUCAUUUUUUCCUACAAUCUCCCAUAUCCCGUGUGUUUAGUCGAGAUGACUGCCGUGGAGACAUGGUCCUUACCUUUCGUCUCUGACUCUAUUCUGGCCAAGGGAGCUCCGACGCCGUUGGGGAGAUUGGUUCUGGUCGGUUCCACCGGAAUCAGACCAGCCACUGGUGCGGCGUCGGGCAGGGGCGCAGGGCUGCAGAUCUGCGACGAGAGGAUGACCUCAAGAAUCUGGACCGUGCUGCUAUCCAGCAACUAGCCGCGGCCAACAUGGGCUACCUCCACAUCGGCUGCACAGCCGCCGGUGCAUGCUGAUCCGGACACCUGCGCCACAGCAGAACAAUGAGCGACUCCUUAUCCUUCCCACUACUACUGAGUAUUCAAACAGAAUUCGAGGUGGAGAAAAACUUGGUACACUGAUUUUUUAUUAUUUCUCAUUUGAGGGCUCUAGGUCAUGUCUAUCCGAAACAUUCAAGUUUGGAGCUUUCGGAUCGUACUUCAGAAAGAACAUUUAGUUACCGUCAAAUUCUUCUCAUGCAUGUACAGAAGAUCGACAAAUGUAAGAUACUCAUUUUAUUGUUAUGUAAUUCAAAAAAUCUGUAAUA